GGCCAGACUCCUACGGGAGGCAGCAGUGGGGAAUAUUGGGCAAUGGGCGCAAGCCUGACCCAGCAACGCCGCGUGAAGGAAGAAGGCUUUCGGGUUGUAAACUUCUUUUGACAGGGAAGAGCAGAAGACGGUACCUGUCGAAUAAGCCACGGCUAACUACGUGCCAGCAGCCGCGGUAAUACGUAGGUGGCAAGCGUUGUCCGGAUUUACUGGGUGUAAAGGGCGUGCAGCCGGAGAGACAAGUCAGAUGUGAAAUCCGCAGGCUCAACCUGCGAACUGCAUUUGAAACUGUAGUUCUUGAGUACUGGAGAGGCGGACGGAAUUCCUAGUGUAGCGGUGAAAUGCGUAGAUAUUAGGAGGAACACCAGUGGCGAAGGCGGUCUGCUGGACAGCAACUGACGCUGAGGCGCGAAAGCGUGGGGAGCAAACAGGAUUAGAUACCCCUGUAAA
rnacentral:rRNA from 1 species